CUUUCGCUUUGAAGAAAACAUGUGUGGACAAACAUGAUGUUUAUAAUUCAAGAAUAUCAUGUAUAAACAUACCACCAACCCUUUGUCGCAGUAUUCAUUGCUUUCGUUUCGUUUCUUUUCAUGCACGGGAAAAAAUAGUUUAUCCUAAAACAUUUCCUUGUAGAGUAUUUUUUUCACAGAAACUAACUAGCAAAAUUUAGCUCGUUAUGAAAAAAUAACAUGAACUCAGAGGCUAUGAAUUCAUGCACAUUUUGCAAGUCUGAUCAAAUAAUCCAUAGCUAUUUCCCUUGAAAAGGAAACAUUCUCUGAACAAAAAAAGGUUCUAUGAUUUUUUUUCCUUGCAUGUUGCCAAUUGAAGUCUGAGGAACCGCGGAGGCACAGCGGGGUGACUUGUUCAAAAAGUUGAUAAUAGCCGAUGUUACAUAAAUUCAAUUUAUAAAUUGUUGCGUGGACUAAAUAUUAAUUGUGAAGAACUCUGAUAUCAAUUGACGCUUAUUUUGUUCAGAACAGAUAAAGAGGUUGUAGCAUGUACCACAAAUUACUUUGGAGAACCCCUCGUACUAUUUUCUUCAGCUCAGAAUCAACAGCGGUGUGUGCUUCUGAGUGUCUUUCUCUGUGUAGAAUGAGAUGCAUGGCAAUGCGAGUGCCGUUCCCAUUUUCGAUUUGGGCGGCUGACCAUAUUGAGUGCCAGGUGUAACUCGGCGGCUCAAUUUAGCCAUGACGCAGAGCACCAACACAUGCCUCGUAGACUUUUUUUUCAUUUUCUGUUUUUUUCCCCCAAGUGGAAAGAGUCUUUCGGCGGGUUUUCUUGUUAUUGGAAACCUAAAACCGGCCAGCGACUCGACUUAAACUGCGCUCGGGAGAUGAAAAGAGAAUUGCCCGCGAACGUUUGAAAGCGGGACAAAUCCAAGCACAGAAGGGACUUCGGAACGACUACGGAAUUGCUAACAUCGUUAACAAUUGCGUAGUUCCGGUUCCAAUGAAUAUCUGGCUGAUCUGAGGAUCGAAAAGUGUGGUCGCCCAUUCUGACUUUGUCAGUGGAAGACGGUAGAAGCGGUCAGUAAUUGUGUACCGCGUAGUAAAAGAUUGAAGUGUGAUUAGAUUAGCGUGAUUAGCAUAAGUGUAUCAUUGUUACGCUGAAAGGGAUAGAUACUCUCCAGUGCACCAGCAAAUUAAAUUGGAGGGAGUACCGCUACUGACCCCACGUACGAGGUCCGGAAUUUUGCCGCCACACUCGUCAAUUCUGGUGGCCGCGCGGAGCGCUUACGCAAAACGGCACUCGCGCAAGAAAGGAAAUCAUCACAGGGUACGCAGCACGGAGCCAUCACUCGUCCGUGUGCGGACUCGAGAUUCAUUGUCCCGUUCAUCGUCUGCAGCGAACGACGGUAAAGCAGAACCACGUAAAACCUAGGUCGUGAGUACAAAUCUAUUUAUUUCCGUAACUAAUACAUGCGCAUGUAGGGAAUAAAUAGAGACAGAAAAACCACACAAAACCAACGAAUGCCACACGAAACAAAAGCCACACUAAGUUGAAGCGUGUUCUGGAUGAUCCGAUACCGAUGGUGAGCACAUGCCCAUCGGUAUAGAAGAACGCUUGGUCGAGGUGCAAACGUAGGGUAGAUAGGAAACGCGCAGUUCCGAAACUCAGGGUCUGAUGUUCGAAACCCGAGGGAAAUUAAAUGAAAAUAUGUAUAUGUUUAAAUUAAGGUUGUUGAAAUAAUCAUGUUUGUAUAAAAUUAUAUCGUCUGUAGUUGAAUGCUGUUUGAAUAUAUACAUGAGUUUGUU